rnacentral:tRNA from 2 species
UGGGGCGUAGCCAAGUGGUAAGGCACGGGACUUUGGAUCCUGCAGCCCAGGUUCGAAUCCUGGCGCCCCAGCCA